AGCGAACGCUGGCGGCAGGCCUAACACAUGCAAGUCGAACGAACCUUUCGGGGUUAGUGGCGGACGGGUGAGUAACACGUGGGAACGUGCCUUUAAGUUCUGAAUAACUCAGGGAAACUUGUGCUAAUACCGAAUGUGCCCUUCGGGGGAAAGAUUUAUCGCCUUUAGAGCGGCCCGCGUCUGAUUAGCUAGUUGGUUGAGGUAAUGGCUCACCAAGGCGACGAUCAGUAGCUGGUCUGAGAGGAUGAUCAGCCACAUUGGGACUGAGACACGGCCCAAACUCCUACGGGAGGCAGCAGUGGGGAAUCUUGCGCAAUGGGCGAAAGCCUGACGCAGCCAUGCCGCGUGAAUGAUGAAGGUCUUAGGAUUGUAAAAUUCUUUCACCGGGGACGAUAAUGACGGUACCCGGAGAAGAAGCCCCGGCUAACUUCGUG
rnacentral:rRNA from 1 species